rnacentral:lncRNA from 1 species
AUGAAUGCUUUUAUAGGCACUAUAGAAAUAGAAAGUACACCAUUUGAGAAAUAUUUUGCAUGAAUUUUCUACCAUUACUCUUCAAUGAGAUAAAGACUUAGUUGUUUUUGUUGAAUUUCCAAAAUGACCUUGGAGGUAAUCCAUAACCAAAAGUCCUUCCAAAUGUUACUAAAUUACAGCCUUUCGUCAUGGAGUUUGUUUGAAACCUGCAUAUUACAAAAAAAAUAAGGAGGAUAAAAGAAAUGACUAAUAAUACAUAACAAAAGAGUCUAUUUUACUUAUGCAGAAAAAUUUAGUAUCCUUCUCAUGAAUCUCAAUAAAAUCUUAAUGAAACACCAAAUCAGUACUCAACACACUAUUUAAAAGACAACAAAAAAUAAUUAUCAUUCUAGAAAAUAUGUUGAUGCCAUAUUUACUUCGGAUAUGUUAUUUUCUUUUAGACUAUGAUCAUGUUCUUUACUCUUACCUAAAACUUUGAAACUUUGAUUGUCUAUCUCGGUUCAAAAUACAAAGCAAUUACAAAUCUACAAAAAAUAAUAACAUCAUUAUCAACUAUUUAUUUAUUCAAAUGAAUAAGUAAAUUUUGUUAACAAAAUUUAAAUUGUUAAUAAUACGGCGGAGUAAAUUUUGUUAAGAGAUAGAAAUGGAAUAUAAUAUUCCAUAUACUUGGGCUUCAACUUCUUGUCAAUGUCUACCAGAAUAUUGAGAAACAUGUCAUGCAUUCUACAAUGGAGCUCUCGUCAUCAUUUAUCUCAAUGAUCAUACAAUCUAUGACUAACAAACAUUUCAAAGUCACUCAAAAUAUGCAAUAUUUCAUAUCGACAACCACAAAGAAGUUUGAAAAUGAAUUAUACUAACUAUUAAACUACUUAUAAAAUUCCACCAAGAAGGAAUGACUUUGGAAUUGGUUGAGAUAAAUAUUAUUGAUUCCUAGACAAACUAUCAUGCCAUACACAUCCUCCAUGCUAAAAAAUUAAAUCAUUGAAAUAAAUUAUUCAAUCAACAUAUUAUAAGCAAGAGAAACAUGAGGAAGUUAAAUACAGAGUCUUACAGAAAUCUAAGAAGAGAUACAUAAAGGAAUGCAAUAUUUGAAUUAACUCUAAUACCAUUUAUCUUUUUCCCUUGGAUGAAGAGCCUCUUCAUAGAUUGAUCUAUUCCCUUUAGGCACACUACAAUUACAAUGAUGUUACUUGCAAAAUCAAAUAAAGUUAACAAUAAAUGUCCAAAUAGAAACCAAUGGUGGCAGUAUGAGAAUGUCGUUUGGUUUCAUUUUUUAGGUGGGCAAUCUUUAGAAUUACAGAAAAAUAACUAUUUUACCCCUUAACAUCAUAUUUUACAUAAUUGUAUUAACAUGAAAGUUAUGUCAAAAAAGAAAUUAAAAUUUACGAUAUCUGAUAAAACCACCAGCCUUUUAUUUUAUUUUAUAUAACAACAACAAAAAUAUCAUCACGAAAGUAUAAUGUUUGACAUUAUACAGUUGGAACAUUAAUUAAAGAUGUUCUUAAGCCUACAAUUGUAGCACAUCCAAUAUCACAUGGAAGAUUAUGUAAGAAAAAGUAUCAAUACUUGCAAUGCAAUGAUGCAUAUUGGUUACAUAAUUUUAUGUUAGAAAGGUAUAAGAUAACAUAAGAAAAUACCAAUAAUUGCAAUGGUGCAUCUUGGAAGAAUAAUCGAAUCUAUUACACCUAUAAUCAGAGAUUAAGAAACAUAAAAAACUCAAGAAAAUGAAGAAAUUGUUAGUAUUAAAUUGUUAAAGUGUCAUGUUUAAUGGACAUACACGGUCACCAGUUAAUCAUGACAAAUUCACAUCCACAUUGGUUAUUCUAAAACAAUUGCUUCUUGAAGCUAAUCCACUAAAAUAAUUAUUCAUGAAUUUAAUUUUCAAAAUUCUUUCUUCCAAAAUAUUGCUUCUUUUAUUCAAAUCAGACUUAACCAAUUAUUAUUACCAAAUACCAAUGUUGCACUACAUUUCAUGUUGAAUUGACUUACCAAGAUUUCUUAUGUUAGUACCAGUGUUGAUUUUCCUUCCUUAAUCUUUAGUUCUUAAACAAUAUGUGAACUUAAUUAAGAUCUGACUUCCUAAAAAAAUCCAUAUUAUUAUUUCCCUAUAAAUAUUGUCAAUGUGUGGAAACUACUUCAGAUUUGUUAAUGUUCUACAUAUCGGUAAGCAUAUGCACUUAUUUCACGCUGUUCCUUUUUUGUGUAUGAUUUUAUUAAACACAUUAAGUGCACUAAGUUGGAAGAAAAACAAUUGUUUCGUUCACCUUGUUUCUUUUUUGUGUAUGACUAUUACACUUAUAGUCAGAGAUAACAAUCGCAUGAUGCAUAAUGUUAUAAGUUCAAUCCUACACAAAAAGACUUUAUAAUCUAUAUCUAUGGUGCGCUUACCAUGCUUCACCUUAGGUUCUAUGGUGCACUUACCAACAUCUUUUUUCAUUAGUCACACCACUAAUAGCAUACUUUUGUUCGCACAUUAUAUGAAAGGGGAAUACAGAAAUAUAUCAACAAAUAGAAAAUAAUUAAUCUAUACUGCAAUAUUCUAUGUUAUCACAUUAUAUCACAACUUGACAACAAAACAGAACAUGAAAAAAUACUUUUAAUUGAUAGCCAAUUUCAUAUCACCAUUUUCACUUAGUUUGCCAAGUCUUUCAAUUUAUGAAUAGAAGAACAUUGGUAGAAGCACAUUUAUAAGGUGGAAACACCUCAUAAAUGUUAAAGUAUUUGUUCUACCAACCCAUAUACUAUGACAAACAAAUGAUUCAUGGAUGCACAUAACAAUGUAAUUCACUUUGACAUUUCACCGAACACGAUAUAAGCCACAAUAAGUAAGGAGGAAAACAAUGAUAAUAUUAUUUAGGCAUGAAACUUAGGAGAAGGUAGACAGAUUAUAAACACAUGAGGGAGAAUUGAAAGAAUACAUAAUAUUUCUAAACUGCAUAAUCUCAAAAACCAAAAACAGGUAGGAAGAGGGAAUGAUGGAGAAUUGAAGGAGAGGAGCAGAUGUGCAUACCUUACAUUAGAAUAUCUGAUAAAUGCCAUGGAGAGAGAGGAGGCGAACCCAGUGAGAAGAAAAAACGACUAAGAGAGGAAGUAAAUCUCAGAAGAAAAAUGAAAUAAGAAAGGAGUGUGAAAUUGGAUAAUAAAGAGUGAGAAGUUUAGAAGUUUAACAUUUAGGUAGUUAAUGAGAGAUUGUGAGUUACGUGGCAUUGUUG